rnacentral:rRNA from 1 species
UGGGGAAUAUUGCACAAUGGGCGCAAGCCUGAUGCAGCCAUGCCGCGUGUGUGAAGAAGGCCUUCGGGUUGUAAAGCACUUUCAGUUGUGAGGAAGGUGGUGUCGUUAAUAGCGGCAUCAUUUGACGUUAGCAACAGAAGAAGCACCGGCUAACUCCGUGCCAGCAGCCGCGGUAAUACGGAGGGUGCGAGCGUUAAUCGGAAUUACUGGGCGUAAAGCGCAUGCAGGUGGUUUGUUAAGUCAGAUGUGAAAGCCCGGGGCUCAACCUCGGAACCGCAUUUGAAACUGGCAGGCUAGAGUACUGUAGAGGGGGGUAGAAUUUCAGGUGUAGCGGUGAAAUGCGUAGAGAUCUGAAGGAAUACCGGUGGCGAAGGCGGCCCCCUGGACAGAUACUGACACUCAGAUGCGAAAGCGUGGGGAGCAAACAGGAUUAGAUACCCCCGUAGUCC